rnacentral:rRNA from 1 species
UGGAGAGGUGACGACGGGUGAGUACACGUAAGCAACCUGCCUUUAAGACGAGAAUAACAAUUGGAAACAGUUGCUAAGGCUGGAUAGGAAAUAAAAAGGCAUCUUUUUACUUUUAAAAGACCUUUUUCGGAAGGUAUGCUUAAAGAGGGGCUUGCGUCACAUUAGUUAGUUGGUAGGGUAAAGGCCUACCAAGACGAUGAUGUGUAGCUGGACUGAGAGGUUGAACAGCCACAUUGGGACUGAGACACGGCCCAAACUCCUACGGGAGGCAGCAGUAGGGAAUUUUCGGCAAUGGAGGAAACUCUGACCGAGCAACGCCGCGUGAACGACGAAGUACUUCGGUAUGUAAAGUUCUUUUAUUGAAGAAGAAACAAUAGUGGAAAAACUAUCUUGACGUUAUUCAACGAAUAAGCCCCGGCUAACUAUGUGCCAGCAGCCGCGGUAAUACAUAGGGGGCGAGCGUUAUCCGGAAUUAUUGGGCGUAAAGGGUGCGUAGGCGGUUUAAUAAGUCUCUAGUUUAAUUUCAACGCUUAACGUUGUCCUGCUAGAGAAACUGUUUAACUAGAGUGAGAUAGAGGUAAGCGGAAUUCCAUGUGUAGCGGUAAAAUGUGUAAAUAUAUGGAGGAACACCAGAGGCGUAGGCGGCUUACUGGGUCUUUACUGACGCUGAUGCACGAAAGCGUGGGGAGCAAACAGGAUUAGAUACCCUGGUAGUCCACGCCGUAAACUAUGAGUACUAAGUGUCGGGGUUAAACUCGGUACUGAAGUUAACACAUUAAGUACUCCGCCUGAGUAGUACGUACGCAAGUAUGAAAUUUAAAGGAAUUGACGGGAUCCCGCACAAGCGGUGGAUCAUGUUGUUUAAUUCGAAGAUACACGAAAAACCUUACCAGGUCUUGACAUACUCUGCAAAGCUAUAGAAAUAUAGUGGAGGUUAUCAGGGAUACAGGUGGUGCAUGGUUGUCGUCAACUCGUGUCGUGAGAUGUUAGGUUAAGUUCUAAAACGAGCGCAACCCCUGUCGUUAAUUGCCAGCACGUUAUGGUGGGGACUUUAGCGAGACUGCCAAUGAAAAAUUGGAGGAAGGUGGGGAUUACGUCAAAUCAUCAUGCCCCUUAUGAUCUGGGCUACAAACGUGAUACAAUGGCUAUUACAAAGAGUAGCUGAAACGCGAGUUUUUGGCAAAUCUCAAAAAAAUAGUCUCAGUUCGGAUUGAAGUCUGCAACUCGACUUCAUGAAGUUGGAAUCGCUAGUAAUCGCGAAUCAGCAUGUCGCGGUGAAUACGUUCUCGGGGUUUGUACACACCGCCCGACAAACCACGAAAUACAUCAGCUC